rnacentral:rRNA from 1 species
GACCUCAGAUCAGGCAGGAUUACCCGCUGAACUUAAGCAUAUCAAUAAGCGGAGGAAAAGAAACUAACAAGGAUUCCCCUAGUAGCGGCGAGCGAAGCGGGAAGAGCUCAAAUUUGUAAUCUGGCGCUUUCAGCGUCCGAGUUGUAAUCUCUAGAAAUGUUUUCCGCGUUGGACCGCACACAAGUCUGUUGGAAUACAGCGGCACAGUGGUGAGACCCCCGUUCAUGGUGCGGAUGCCCAAUGCUUUGUGAUACAUUUUCGAAGAGUCGAGUUGUUUGGGAAUGCAGCUCAAAUUGGGUGGUAAAUUCCAUCUAAAGCUAAAUAUUGGCGAGAGACCGAUAGCGAACAAGUACCGUGAGGGAAAGAUGAAAAGCACUUUGGAAAGAGAGUUAACAGUACGUGAAAUUGUUGGAAGGGAAACGCUUGAAGUCAGACUUGCUUGCCGGAGCUUGCUUCGGUUUGCAGGCCAGCAUCAGUUUUCCGGGGUGGAUAAUGGUGGUUUGAAGGUAGCAGCCUCGGCUGUGUUAUAGCUUUCCACUGGAUACAUCCUGGGGGACUGAGGAACGCAGCGUGCUUUUUGCGAAGGUUUCGACCUUUUCACGCUUAGGAUGCUGGUGUAAUGGCUUUAAACGACCCGUCUUGUAACACGGACCAAGGAGUCUAACAUGCUUGCGAGUAUUUGGGUGUCAAACCCGGAUGCGCAAUGAAAGUGAAUGUAGGUGGGAACCGCAAGGUGCACCAUCGACCGAUCUGGAUCUUUUGAGAUGGAUUUGAGUAAGAGCGCGUAUGUUGGGACCCGAAAGAUGGUGAACUAUGCCUGAAUAGGGCGAAGCCAGAGGAAACUCUGGUGGAGGCUCGUAGCGGUUCUGACGUGCAAAUCGAUCGUCAAAUUUGGGUAUAGGGGCGAAAGACUAAUCGAACCAUCUAGUAGCUGGUUCCUGCCGAAGUUUCCCUCAGGAUAGCAGAAA